UUUUAGAGACCUGAAUAGGGUUCGGUUUCGACCCGAAAUAGAAAUAAUUUUUGCUUGUUUUCUAAAAA
rnacentral:tRNA from 1 species